rfam:Haemonchus contortus, ISE/inbred ISE, WGS project CAVP01000000 data, contig: Hcontortus_32511
GGCCCAAAUUUGAAGUACGGUAGAUUAUUAGGGUCAGCUGAUACUACUGAUCUACUCUACUUCAAAUUUGGGCCC